UGGUUCUCGCAUCGAUGAAGAACGCAGCGAAUUGCGAUAUGUAAUGCGAAUUGCAGAAUUCAGUGAAUCAUCGAAUCUUUGAACGCACAUUGCACCCUUUGGUAUUCCGAAGGGUAUGCCUGUUUGAGUGUCAUUAAAUUAUCAACAUGAAAGCUUUGUUUUUAUGCUUGGAAUUGAAGAAUUGCUGAUGUCAAAUUAGCUUCUUUUAAAUAUAUUAGCGGAACUUUGCAAGUCCAGCUCCAGCUUGAUAAUAUCUAGGUUGUUGCUGUGUUACUUCAUUUAAUCUGCUUCAAAUUGUCUGACUUUGUUAGACUGUCUCGCUUCAGAGGCAUAUUUUAAUCUUGACCUCAAAUCAGGUAGGACUACCCGCUGA
rnacentral:misc_RNA from 1 species